rnacentral:rRNA from 1 species
UACGGGGGGGCAAGCGUUGUUCGGAAUUACUGGGCGUAAAGGGCUCGUAGGCGGCCAACUAAGUCGGAUGUGAAAUCCCCAGGCUUAACCUGGGAACUGCAUCCGAUACUGGAUGGCUUGAAUCCGGGAGAGGGAUGCAGAAUUCCAGGUGUAGCGGUGAAAUGCGUAGAUAUCUGGAGGAAUACCGGUGGCGAAGGCGGCAUCCUGGACAAGUCCUGACGCUGAGGCACGAAAGCCAGGGGAGCAAACAGG